UUAGCCAUGCUAGUCGCACGAGUUUAGACUCGUGGCAUAUAGCUCAGUAACACGUGGCCAAACUACCCUACAGACCGCAAUAACCUCGGGAAACUGAGGCCAAUAGCGGAUAUAACUCUCAUGCUGGAGUGCAGAGAGUUAGAAACGUUCCGGCGCUGUAGGAUGUGGCUGCGGCCGAUUAGGUAGAUGGUGGGGUAACGGCCCACCAUGCCGAUAAUCGGUACAGGUUGUGAGAGCAAGAGCCUGGAGACGGUAUCUGAGACAAGAUACCGGGCCCUACGGGGCGCAGCAGGCGCGAAACCUUUACACUGCACGACAGUGCGAUAGGGGGACUCCGAGUGUGAGGGCAUAUAGCCCUCGCUUUUCUGUACCGUAAGGUGGUACAAGAAUAAGGACUGGGCAAGACCGAAAAAAAGCCGCCGCGGUAAUACCGGCAGUCCAAGUGAUGGCCGAUAUUAUUGGGCCUAAAGCGUCCGUAGCUUGCUGUGUAAGUCCAUUGGGAAAUCGACCAGCUCAACUGGUCGACGUCCAGUGGAAACUACACAGCUUGGGGCCGAGAGACUCAACGGGUACGUCCGGGGUAGGAGUGAAAUCCUAUAAUCCUGGACGGACCACCAAUGGGGAAACCACGUUGAGAGACCGGACCCGACAGUGAGGGACGAAAGCCAGGGUCUCGAACCGGAUUAGAUACCCGGGUAGUCCUGGCCGUAAACAAUGC
rnacentral:rRNA from 1 species